rnacentral:antisense_RNA from 1 species
UCCAAUGGGCGGGCCUUGGCGGGGGAGCCUCACGGCUCGCCGGUUUCUGGUUCUAUGCACCGGUCUGUGAACCCUGCCAAUGUGCCCGCUCACCCAA